rnacentral:lncRNA from 1 species
UCGAGGGCCGCGGCGCCAGCUGUCGUAUCGGGUCGGAUCUCUGGCUCAUAUUACCCGCUCCGCACAAUUGGCUAUAAAUAUCCCCUUUCUGUUUCGUACCAUCGCCGCUUGUUCGACUCGUCUUCCGUUCGAGAGCUCUCCAAGAGGUUGCAAUGGCGGCCUUCGGAGCCAAAUCCCUCGCGACCUGCCUGCUCGCUGCGGCUUUCCUCGCCUACGGAGUGGCCGCCGCCGAUGCUCCGGCCCCCAGCCCCGCCUCCGCGGCCGGCGCCCUCUCCCCGUCGCUCGCCGUCGUCGUGCUCGCCUCCUCGGUCGUCGCCCUCUUCGGUUCCCUCCGCCACUGAGCGUGCUCGACUCCAGCCUGGGGUAUCUUGUAUCGAUGCUUUCAGAGGAUUUGCCGGGGAGGGAUUUGGGUCGUCUUUAGGGCUUUUCUCCUGAUAAUAAUCAUGAUGAUGAUGCUUGAUGGGUGUAUACAUAUUAUGGAUCGUAGGAUGAGUCGGUAGAUAUUGUGAUCGAUGUUCUAUUGAUUGUUCUGUUAUUUUCCCCUUAUUUCUGCUGAUUAAUCGAUCCGUCGCUGUUUGCUUCCGAUGGCUACAAUGCUAAUCUUUUAUUCUUUGUGAAUUAAAAUGAUCUAAACUGAGGGUUUCUUGAUGGUCAAUCAUGCAUCAAUCCAGGAGGACCGAUGAGUGAAGCAGCCAAUCCAACUCCUCGGUUUCAAUUGUCGGUAUCUGCAUCUGAUGGCAAAGCUUGACACCCGUCUGACCAACAUUGCAUGUGGUGGUGACCAAUAUUUUUAUAUUUUCUGAAAAUAUUUUUUUUUUAUUAUAAUUUUUAAAAUAUUUUCGACAAGAUAACUGAAGCACGUCAUACAAUUCUCCUUAGUUACUAAUUUUUUUUGUCUCUAAACUAAUAAAAAUAUAUAUUUGAAAUCAUAUUUUUAUGUUGAUUGUUGCAUUGGCUUGGAGCCUAGGAAUUGACAUGUCGACUUAGUCUUUGACAGAUGGUCAUGAGUGUCGAUAAUCAUCCACGCGUCAAUUCCUGCAUCAAACCUAACAAAGACUAAAUAUAAAAUCAUGAAGCAAUGCAAGAACACCUCAUCAAUUAAAAAUUAGGUAUCAGCUAAAGUCGCACUUGUUCCAUCUCACACGUAAUCUGCCGUCUAAUUAUAUAUUAUAUUAACCCAUAUAAUUAGACCUCUAUAUUUAAAAAAUUUAUAUUGAUCUUUAUUUAUCAAUGGAAGAUAUAGUAUGUGCAUAGAUAACAUAAAAAUUAUAGGUAAAAAAAUUAUUUCAAUGAUAGCAGACGAUAGCACUGUGGUAGUGCUCGACGAAAAUGAUAUGAUGGUUGAUCUUGUUGAUGUCGAUAUGAACAUUAACAACGAGGAAGAAGAGGAGGUAGAGCAUUAAGGCAUCUGCGUUGGUACCAGAGGAGGAAAAGAAGGGAGGUGAGACAUCUGCAUCGGCGCCGCACUGCUCUACUUCCUUUUCAUUCUCGUUGAUCACCUCAUUGUUCGGUGCAACACUGCACUAUCUCCUCUGCAUUGACAUCGCAUCACUUUGUUCUUCAUUCUCACCAACCAUCGUAUCGUCAGAAGAAGAAGAAGAGAAGGCAAAGUAGUGCAACGUUGAUGCAGAUGCCUCACUUGCCUCCUCUUCCUCCUUCGACAUACUCUGCCUUAUCUUCAUUCUCGUUGAUCACAUCACUAUUCGAUGUGAUGUGAUACUAUCUCCUAUAUGUCAUCGCCACACCACUCUAUCUCUUUUACAUUCUCACUAACAACCACAUCUCUGGAACAAGAAAAGGAGGUAGAGUGGUGCGAUGUUAACGCAAAUGCUUCACCACUCUGCCUCAUCUUCUUUCUCUUCAUCGAUAUUUGAAUCAACAUCGACAAGGUUGAUCAUCACAUAAUUUUCGCUAACUACGACCACAACAACCACUCACGAUUCUAUCGUCUGCUAUCAUCAUUGAAAUUAUUUUUUUCCCAUAACUUUCGUAUCAUUCAUGCACGUACUAUCAUAUGUUGUUGAUAAAACCAAUGAUAUUAGGGUAAAUGAGGUUAAAUAAUUUACUUUCAUAACUAUAAGGUUUUUAAUAUAAAUUAUUUAAAUCUAGAUAUCAGGUUACUUUCAUAGCGAAAUAUUGUCACGCAACAAUUGGGCUCCAUUAUUUUUAGAACACAAGGUACGUAGGUCGACAACUAGGACAACAAUUGCUUAUACUUGUUUUGUUUUCUUUGGUAGGUUUCUGUGCGUGACCAUGACAUCCAAUUUCUCUCAUUUGAAGUAGAAGAUACAGCCUAUUAGAGAACACCGAAAGAGAAAUUAAAUUUUGGCUCUCGUUUGAUGUCAAAUUAGAUGGCUUUGUCCGAACUGCAAUAAAUAAUAAAUAGAAGAAAGAUGAACUACCGACUGAAGAAGACAUCUUACCAAACUAUUUCUUUUAUCUUUGCUUCUCCGAUAGCACAUGUUUAGGUAGAGGCAGGUAUUUACAUCAUCUAACCAAACCAAUAUCCUCAUAACUAAUUGACUGCAAUCACUCCUCAUGUCAUUAUUAGUUCAAGUUCACGCUAUGCUAUGCUAUGCUAUGCUCUUAACUUAUUAAGUGUACUUAGUCAUCGAAUAAGUCAUUGUUACUAAUAAUGAUAGCUCGUGAUCGAAGGAACUGUUGAACAUGAGAGGAAGGAGGAAAGGAGCACAUGUUACAUGUUUUUACUAUUGCUACCACGUGCGAGGGUCACAAGCAAGACAUGUCGCAACCACGUUAAUAAGAUCAACAAAAGAAGGAGAAAAAGAAAUUGAUUUUUUCAUGUGACUAGGAGUAUUGUUUUGAAAUUUUUCAAAAUAGAGAUGCUCUAUUUUUUAAAAAAUAUAUUUUUUUCAAAAUUGACCUUCUCCGAAAUUAUCGGAUGAGACUUAAUGCAUUCAAAUUAAUAAGUAGGUCCAAUACAUAAUUAUUUAUUUAAAAAUAAUAUACUUAUGUAAUUAAUUUUUGAUACAAUAUAUAUGUUUCCAAAUUUUAAAAUCAUGUCCUCGUUAGUAAAAAUAAAAUCACUAGCAAGUAACCAUGAUUAUCACUUGUUAGUUUGAAUCAAAAUUAUUAAGAAGAUCUUGCCAUCAUAACAUAGCGUUUGAAGGAUAACCUGUCAAUCAUACAAUGAUAGUUAAUUAAUGAAAAUUAAUUGCAUAUAUAUAUAUAUAUAUAUAUAUAUAUAUAUAUAUAUAUAUAUAUAUAUAUAUAUAUAUAUAUAUAGCUUUGGUUGUUAAUGCACGCCUAGAAGGUUGGGUCGGAUCCAGUGUUCGGAUCCGACCCAUUAUCAUUUGGAUCAGAUGAAGCAUAUGUUAUAAUUCAUGAUUCGACCCGAUUGAAUUCGGACUUGUCUUUCCUUUACCGUACAAAGCAAUGCAAGACUUCGAUGGACUCACUUCUUCGACUUGAUCUGACCUGACCCACUAAUUACAACGGUCUGGUUUGAGUCGUAAUCUAAUUGAGGUCAGAUCGAGUUCCGAUCGAUAUCUAAUUAUACGAGAGGUUAUCGCAAACCACGGCCGUAGCUGCUGUUGCUGCCGCUCCAUGUCGCAGCUCAUUUCGCUCUAUCCGCCACCUGUUGGCGCCUCUACCUGCCUCCCUCCGCGCGUUUCCUCCUCCUCCUCCUCCUCCUCUCUUCCUAUUCUCCACCUCUCGUCCUCUGAUCGUGGACGACAACCCCGAUUCCCCGCCAUCGCUACCAAGGCUAAACCAAAUAGGCGCGCCAAAACCCUACUAGAACCCCAAGAGGUCUCCGAGAUCGGGGAUGAAGACGACGUCGAAGACGAAGGAGGAGGAGUUGAUGCUUUCCCUUUUGGUGAUGGGUUUACGGCGGAAGAGGGAGGAGGUGGAGAAGAAAAUAGCGAGGGAGACGAGGACGGGGUCUUGAAUUCGUCGGGUGGGUACGGAGGAAGAGGCGACGGGAAGGAUUACGACAAAGACCCCGAGCUGGCGGAGAUCCUCGCCAGCUGCUUCGAUGACCCCCAGAAGGCCCAGUCUCGAGUAACACUCACAUCUUUCUCUUACUCUCGUCUUUGUUUCCCCUUCUUGUUGGAUUUAGGGUUACAUAAGUUUAAGAAUAAGAUCAAAAAUCUCUUCGAUUUUGGAUUAUCUAUAAUGUUGUUAGGUUGAGGAGAGGAUAAGGAGGAAGAGGGAUAAGAUACUGCAUUCCAAGACCGGCUCUGCUACGCCCAUGAAAGUCACAUUCAACAAGUAAGCCUCUGCCUUGCUUCCCAUUCACGGGGAAUGAUGCUAUGGUUUUUGGCCCGAGACAUUUAUGUAUCUGUGGUUUCAGGGGUGAUUUUAUUCAUGUGGUAUCUAAACAUUAUUGCCUCUUCCUGGACUGUUUCAAACUGUUUUAUUACAUAGCUGAAUCAAGCAAGGUUUAGAGAUUAAUAUGCAUAAAAAGUGUAUGUAGCUGUACUUGUCUAUUAUUACGAGAUCUUUCGUAGUAUCAUGGAAACUUCCCCCCUUAAUAUACUUACUGGUAGCAUUUGUUUGCCAACAACUCAGAAUGUAGACACCCUCUAUCUAACAAAAUCACCAAGAUCAGGACAAAGAGAAAAUCAACAUUAUAUAUCAUAAUCAAUAAAAAAGUACAAGCAACUACAACAGAUUUGCUCCAUCAAAGUGUUUUGCCACAUUGAGAUGGAAGGCAGAUUUCACUACAGAAUUGUCAUUCAGUUCAACUUCUUUUUGAAAGAUCCAUUAGUAUCUCCUCCAACGAUUCUUGAUUCCAAAGAACAGUCCGAUUAGAUUGGGAGGUCUUGCUUACUCUGACAGUGAUUGCAACAUCUUCUUUUCGUUAUGUUGAGGCAUUCAAGAUUUGAGCAGGACUAGCAUAACCUCAUUCCAUGAUUCCAUACGCUACAGCUACAAAAUGAUGAAUAUUUGAAUCUAGGUUUUACCCACAUUUAUGCAAAACAAAUUCACCAAACCCAUCUAGAUACAUUUGCUCCAAAUUACCUUGGUUGACAGCUCGACAAUGAGGUAUAGAAGCAACAUAGCGCCCAUCAGUUGCAGAUUCAAAAUCUCUAAUCUCUGCAGCAGCAAUCCUGAUAAUAUCAGCAACCAAACAUUGAUCAUCAUAAGAAAACUUGUAAUCCUAUUUUCCUUGAUCCAAAACUGCAGAUCGACAAGGUUUUAAAUUGCUACUGUGCAAGCUAAGUACCAUAGUUGAUUGAUAAUGCAAAAAGGAUUGACCCUGUUACAUCAUAGCCUGAUAGACCUCAGUACAAGACAUUCUGCUUAGAACUAUCAUAUGCCCAAAAUUAUGAACUGAAGUGCUUGCUGGAGAUUUUAGAAACUUUACUUUUUCUUGACCAUAUUGCUUCAUUAUGUUGCUCUUCUGUUUGCAUCUUACAUGACAUCACAUAAUCCCCUCUUAUACUACAAUUCCAUGUCGUGAUUCUCAGUCUGAUAAUCUAUUUAUCGUGGUUGGUAUAUGCCAGGUUUCACUAUUCAAACUCCUAUAUAUGGUUUGAAUUCUACAAUGCUCCAUUAGCAAAAGACAUAACUUUAAUCUGCGAUGUAAGUGUAACGUCUGAGGCUUCUUUGACCUCCUCUUGUUAUUUCUCAGCUUUAGCUUAUUCAUUCUUUGCACAGACUAUUCGGUCUUGGCAUAUAGUUGGCCGCCUUGGUGGGUGCAACUCGAUGAACAUGCAGGUAGAUGUUUGAACAAAUGGACAGAUAUGCUUAUUUACAUGCAUUUCUAGUUCUUGAGUAUCAUGAAAAGAUUCGAUGAUUCAUGCCAAACAAAUAAUGUAAUGAAGUUAAAAGUGUGUGUGCUUGACAAGUAUGCAGUUCUUUCAUGCUUAUCUUAUUGCUUUUUUGUAGUAGGUGAUUAUAACACCAGGAACUUGACAGUUGAAGAAAGAUGUUCAAACUCAGUAAAUAUUGAGACUUGUCUUCACUGCUUCUGAUGAUUUCUAUGUAAGCCUAUACUAGGAAAGUAGUUCUAUGCCCCUGAUUUUCCCAAAAGUUCUAAUGCCUGAGUGUCUUGUAAUUUAUUGAUGGUGUCUUCUAGUAAGGAAUAAUAUAGAUUCAGCUUCUUAUUUCCAAUGAACAAUCAAGUUUGAAACACAAAAAGGAAAAAGGCAUUUUUUUAUCUCAUCACCAAGCUAAACUUAGAGUCUCAUAUAAGACCAACAGUGUUAAAUUUUUCUUUGUCCAAGUCAUGAUGUAGUUUUUGUAGUCUGUUAAGAAAUGAAAAAGCCAAGCAUCGUGUUAACACCAUGGCGCAUGGAGUUAUAGUCACCGUAACCAAAAUUAUGAAAGUUCAUAUAUGUCCGAUGGAGACUAUGUUGACAUUUGAAACCUCACAUUAUAGCAGGCUAGCAGCAACUAAGACAUAAAGAUAGUGUCAGUGAAGUUUUGCUCUCUGUUACUUUAAGUUCAUGAAGUUGUCUGAAUCUUACUAAUCUGAUUCAUGGAGAUGUAGCUUAGCACAUAAAUGUGCACAGUUAUAUUGAUGAUGAUUUGGUCAUGUCGUAAUUAUACGAAAGGAAGAAAAAUGAAUCAUUCAACUGGUUCCAGAAUUUAACUAGUCAAGUAAGUUGCCAUUAUAGCAGCUAAACGUCGAAAAGCUACCUAAAUAUGGAGUGAUUCAGUAACUUGAGGUUUAGGAACAUAAGCUCGAUAUGUGAAAGAAGAAAACAGGUUGUUCUUAUAAUACAGAGCCACACAGGCAAAAACUGUUUUAUGUUAUGUAAAAUCAUUGUUGGUUAUUGCAUUUUCAUUAUAUGGGCUAAAUUUAUUAUAGCAUCAUUUUUGUUUUCCAUUCUAUGCAGUUAUCACAAGCACCUCUUGAGAGUAAAAGACCAAGUUAUGAUGCUAUUCAAGGAGCAAACAUUACCCCAACAACAUUUUAUAACAUUGGGGAUCUCGAGAUCCAAGACAAUUUGGCACGGAUAUGGUAAAUCUCAUUGAUAUCUUUGCUAUUUUCUUCAAGUUCUAGAAAAUCCUUCUCAGCUAAAUUCUGCAAUGUUCCCACAGAAUCAUAACUAGGUUUUCGCUUAUUUUGCUAUGAUAUUCACAGGGUAGAUAUCGGUACAAGUGAACCAUUACUUCUGGAUGUACUAAUUAACGCGUUGACCUGCAUAAGCUCAGAGUAAGCUCCGUGGAUCUCUAUUUUCUUCCACUCUAUAUGUGUGAAGCAUUUAAGAAGCUUUGUACUAGUUCUCUUUUCUGUCAUACGUGAUAUUUAUGUUCUGUUAAUACUGUUCCAUCCAUCGAUUUCACUGCCAUUUUUUUCCUAAGCAUGUUAAAACCCCAUCUUUGCAAAUUUCAUGAUUGUCGAAUGCAUCUUUCACCAAAAUUGACGUCCGUAUUCAUUCUUGGCCAGUUAUGUCGGGAUCAAACAGGUGGUCUUUGGAGGUUCAAAUUUUGAGAAUUGGAAGGAGAACUUGACAUCAGAGGAUGCCGGUUACAGCAUCCACAAGAUCUGACUUGCGUUCAAUGGAGGCGAUUGGCCAUGAAAUAUUUUUAUAAUAUAGAUACUUUGUUGUUGUUUGAAUGACAAACAUAUAAUCCUGUGAUCGGAGGUUCUUCAGACUAAAAAAGAGGAGUACAGUUUCUGUCUACAGCACAUUUAUCAGCCACAUCUCUUGCUUAGUGAUUGAUAAACUGUGUGAAAAAGCAUUUGUAAUUGUUUCAGCUUUGUGUAUUUGUUGUGAUGUGUGGUCUAGAAAAAUGAGAUGUGGAUAUAUAUACAUGUCAUCGUCUCGCAUACCUAUUCAAACUGGUCAUCAAUCAACACAUAAGAUUGAUUAGCCUUGCCUAUUUCAGUUUUGGAAUUAUGGUUCUGAUUGUUGGUCUAAGUUUCAGAAUUAUGGUACUGAUAUUGUCAAAUUUGGAAUCGAUUUUGGUUUUAAUUAUAUUUCAAACGAUUGGUUUUGGAUUCAACUGUUUUGAUUGAUGAAAAUAAUAAUAAAUUACUCUCUAUCGAGAUACAAAUUCAAGUCAUAAGUUCGUAAAUAUUAAGUAAUCAGUUUGGAACCUUUCAAAUUCUUGGAAUCAGAAUCGAACCGUAUGAUGUCGAUUCUGGUUUGAUUUGGUACUGUUAAAUCGUUCGAUUCCAGUUUCAAUCAUUGUGUGUGGGUCCUUUCGAUAACUCUUUUGCAAUAGAAUGGUAGCCUAAGAGAGAGACUCAUUAACUCAGGAAGAUCAACGACGAAGGAAGGAUAUUAUUGCCUCAUAUUUAGUUCUUAUAUAGGAGGCUUUUAUUGGUCGAUUGCCAAGAAACCACCGUCCGCUUUUAUUGGUCGAUUGCCAAGAAACCACCGUCCGCCUAUAUCAAACUAUUAUAGAAAAUGAAUCGAUACAUCAUCGUGAAAUCUCUUAAGAGUAGGAAAGAGAAAAAUAGAGAAAGAAGAAACUGACUAAGAAAGAUUGACCCUCUCGAUUGCUUGCCGGUAAACAUGUCACGAGUCGUCAAGAUUAAGGAUUCAGUUAUUCUCUGAGGGAUUCAGUUAUUCUCCUCGACUCUCUCCCCAAAACCCUCUCCCCAAAUCCAUCAAUCUGUGUAGGUCCUGUAAAAGGAUAGGAAGAGAUGAGAAAUGGUCUACUCUCCUUGCACUCCUUCAGAUUGCAUGCGAUUGGAUUAAAGACGGUGCUUGCAGCUAUUUUGGAUUAAAGACGGUGCUUAGCAGAUCAACGGGAUCUCUGAACAUAUGACAUCAAAAGGUACGCAUCGUAUAAUUAGAUCUAUGCAUUGAUUUCAAUCCUGGCAUAUAGGUUAUUUCCGCAUUAUUGACAUAGCAAAACUACAGAUCUUUAUGCUUACAAUUGGUAUCAGAGCCCGGUUUUUGAAAUCAUGCAUUAGAUCUGUAAAUUAAUUUACGAUGCAUAAUUACCUUUAUCUUCCAAGAAAUUGACUUAGCAANNNNNNNNNNNNNNNNNNNNCCAAGAUAAAGGUAAUUAUGCAUCGUAAAUUAAUUUACAGAUCUAAUGCAUGAUUUCAAAAACCGGGCUCUGAUACCAAUUGUAAGCAUAAAGAUCUGUAAUUAUGUUAUGUCAAUAAUGCGAAAAUAACAUAUAUACCAGGAUUGAAAUCAAUGCAUAGAUCUAAUUAUACGAUGCGUACCUUAUAUCAUAUGUUCAGAGAUCCCGUUGAUCUGCUAAGCACCGUCUUUAAUUCGACCGUCUUUAAUCCAAUCGCACGGAGAGUAGACCCUUUCUCCUCUCUUCCUAUCCUUUCACAGGACCCACAUAGAUUGAUGGAUUUGGGGAGAGGGUUUUGGGGAGAGAGUCGAGGAGAAUAACUGAAUCCCUCAACGGAAAGGCGCGUCUAUACGCGUUAUGACGCUCUAACACACCCUCAACCCCUAGAGUCUAUACGCGUUAUGACGCUCUAACACACCCUCAACCCCUAGAGAUCCUGUCCUUUUAUAGGCGAGAUCAGAGAGUCUACGAUGAGAUCUCAGAAGAUUUCCUCCCUAUCUCCGAGGAAUCGUUCCGUAGUGAACUUAGUCUAUUGGCUUAUCUGAAUGGAACCCAUAUGCCAGGAUUGAAAUCAAUGCAUAGAUCUAAUUAUACGAUGCGUACCUUAUGUCAUAUGUUCAGAGAUCCCGUUGAUCUGCUAAGCACCGUCUUUAAUUCGACCGUCUUUAAUCCAAUCGCACGCAGUCUGAAGGAGUGCAAGGAGAGUGACCCUUUCUCCUCUCUUCUUAUCCUUUCACAGGACCCACACAGAUUGAUGGAUUUGAACACACCCUCAACCCCUAGAGACCCUGUCCUUUUAUAGGCGAGAGCAGAAAGUCUACGAUGAGAUCUCAGAAGAUUUCCUCCCAUCAAGGAUAUCUCCGAGGAAGAGUCCUCCCAUCAAGGAUAUCUCCGAGGAAUUGUUCCGUAGUGGACUUAGUCUAUUGGCGGAACUCAAUUAGUUAUUCUAUUAUAUAUCUUAUUCAAUUAUAAAAGGGCCACAUAUUCUAACAUGGCCAUCCCACGAAAGGACUUCACUCCUUUUAGCAACUUGGUACGAAGUGUUCGUUCCUCUGUAUUAGAGAGAAGAGUCUCUAUAGAGCUCCUCAACUCAUGAGUUCUUUUAACUACUCGAAAGGAUAAAUUUAAAUACUAUCAAUUUAAAGAUAACUUUGACUUGAAAGAGUAGAUUGAAAAGUUUAUCCAAGUUGAUCGAGCAACGAGUCAACAUGAUAUGCAAAUAAUAUGCCAAAAGGAGCCUUAAACUAGAGGUAUAUGUUGAAUUAAGAUCUAGAGAUAAUUUUCUAAAAAGAAGAGGAAGAAAUAAAGGUAGAAGACAUCAUGAAACUUCCGGUGACUAGUUCGGACUAAAAGUUGAGAGGAUUUGACUAAAGGUUUGGAGUUGGAAAAGUCCGAAGUUCUCAUAUUACAGGCAACAACCGAGAGAUGACUCAAAGGUCCUCUUUUACGAUGGUGGUCGGGUGUUGUUUGGUCUCCGUCGCUUAACCUGUUGCUGCUAUCCUUACAGUUCGACUAAUGGAUGUCCUUGAUUAGCCAUAGAAGAUUUGGCAUCAUAACCAAAGCUGCUUUGAGAUGAUUCAUGAUAUUAAACACCAUUGAAAACAAAAUCCAUGCCCAAAUUUGAUCAUAAAAUAUCUUAUAUCUCUUAACAUAAUCGAAAAUGAUCAUGAACCAUCUCAUACCUUCUAACGUGGUUGAAUUUAGCCAUAAAAUGGCCCAUACCUAUGAAGCGAGUGAAUUCAAUUUUUCAACGUGAUCAAAUUUGAUCACAAAUCAUCCCUUAUUCCUGACAUGAUUGAGUUUGAUCAUAAAAUGUCCAAAAUCUCUAAUAUGGUUGAAUUCAACCAUAAAGCAUCUAAUAUCGGAUCAUAAAACAUCCUCAAUCACUAAAUUCGAUCGAAUCAAACAUCUUAUCUCGACCAAAUUCGACCACCAAAAGUCCUCAAUCUUUGAAUCCAACUUUAAUCAGUCCUAACAAAAUUUAGACAAGAAACAUUCCUCACCUACGAAAUGAUUAAAUUGUCUAUCGAGGAGGACACCCUCCACUUGUCAAAACAAAAGCGAACAAUGAUAACGAUCUGACAUAUCGGUACCCAUACACUACAUUGCCAACACCACAAUUACUAAUAAAUACUCUCGAUAGUAAAUCGGAGUCGGAACUCGUCUUCAGGAAUCACUUACCAUUUUCAAGGAAAAUAAAAAAUCGCAGGACUUUUAAUGUUUCAGUAAAUUUGACGACCACACCAAAAAGAGAACAAACUUGAUCAAUGUGUCAUUGCCACCAACAACGAGCUGGCCAACUCUGAACAUGAUCCAUGAGAACAUAUCUUGCUCCCCAAACUUGUCCAACUAUCAAAAGCACUAUUUUAAGAUACACACAAAUCAAUAUCUUCAGUACCAUAUGAUACAAAGGUUUAGGUUUAUGUUGAGGUUUUCCAUGACAGGGGGGCACAAGAACGUAAGCCCUGGAACUUACCCACAAGGAGUGAGUUUCUUAUUGCCUGCACCACGAGGAUGGUCAUCUUUCCAAUCGUCCCAUGCUCUUGCUUUUUCCACCUCUGCAUCUUCAUCCUCGGUCGAAGUAGUGCCCUCCUUGUGCCACGAAGAGUUGGCUUCUUCCAUGAGCUUGACAUUCCACUCUUGCCAUUUCUUCAUCAUCUCCAUUUCUCGUAAGCCAGCUUCUUCUAUACUCAUGGUUGGUAGCCUAUGAGACAUGAAAGGGAGUCAGGCGACCUGGCAUGUAGUGACCCAGACCAUAUACUUUCUUUCCCAAUCGAAAAGCAAUUGCUGCUACAUGUAACAUUCCUGAGCGAAGAAGUACGCAUACUGAUUUGAGAAGCAUAGGUACCAUACCAAACUCUAAUAUUGCAAACGAUAAAAGAAAAAAUGACCUUCUGCCAACUUGUUACAGACAAAGACAACUGUACAGAGCAUGCAACGCAAUCCAAGCAGCAGAGACACCAAGAGGAACUGAUAGCAGCACUAUCCAAUAUAGUAAAAGAUGAAGAAACAAAGAACUUUCUGGCAACUUGUCACAGUCAAAGAGAACAAGAAAAAGAACCAAAAGAUUAAACCGUAUGAAGUUCCGCACUAAUAUAUGCCAGAUGAAAAAGAAAGCAAUUACAAUUUAAGCGAAAACCACACAUAAAGCUUUCACAAACUCACGAAUGCAUAAAACUCUAGCCAAAUUGUCCUUCAAUAGAUAUGCUAUUAGUUGCACGGGCUUGAUUGAACAUGUUAUAGUAAGAUCUACAUGCCCCUGAGGGAAUGACAAAGCAAUGGCAGAAAUCUAGUUUUCAUUUUUUUUUUUAUUAUACAUCAUCCUUUUCGUUUAAAAGACAGUCCCUUAGUUUUUACAGAGUCUACCAACAUAGAUUUCAUAGUCGAGCAAUAUAGAACUAAUACCUUUCUUGGUCUUCAUCAUGUGACACAGGCUAUGCUUUCCAGUCUUAAACACUACAUGAGUAAUGAACAAAAAUAAAUAAAUAAACAAUCACAAAAGUUAUAUGGCGUACCUAUAACCUGGUUGGAAGACUUGUGCUGCCAUUCUCUCUCUCUCACUAGUUAACCUUCCACCGACAAGGCUAGCUGGUCCAAAUAUCAUGGGUUGGUGCUUGUGUUCAUGUGCUUGUGAAAGCUGUGCUCUACCUUCGAUAACAUCUUGGGCAAAGGUUGCACAUGUGAUGGGUUCUGCUGGUUUUGAAACUGCUGCUUUACUUGCAGCAUUCCUAUGCCAUGUUUCAGCUCGUUUAGUACGCUCAUCAAGAAUCUCAUGAGCAAAAUCUUCUCCUUCCUGCAAUCCAGUUCAGCUCGAGUAGAAAUUUAUGAGUUUUCAGAAUUUUAAUGCCACACAAAAUAAUAAAAUUAAUAUAAACGAGAAAAACAUGAUCGUACAACAACAACAAAACCGUAAGCCUCAACUAUUUGGGGUCUGCUACAUGGAUCUCUUGCCGCUAUUGAGAUCUGUAAAGAGUUAUAUGUUUAAUUAACUUCAUAAUACUUAAAUCUUUAUUUAUAGUUUCUAUUAAAGUUUUGUUAGAUCCUUCUCUAUCUCUUCUCUUAUCACUUACAUUUAUCAUUUCACAUUUUCUAACUAUCGCAACCGAAGGUCUCCUAUCAAAGUGAUGCCUAAUUGUUCACGAAUAAAAAAAAUUUAUUUUUCUAUCUUUCCUAAUAACUCCACACAUCCAUCUCAACAUUUUGUCACGAACGAUCGUCGUGCACCCACAACAACUCCGUUCAAUGAACCGUUCAUCGCUCUGAGUUUUUAGAGAUAUUUGUUUCAAGUCUUUUUUAAAACCUACCAUAAUAAAUCUCCAAGAACCCUAUCAUAAGCUUUCUCUGAGUCAAUAGAAACCGUAUGCAAAUCUUUCUUUUUCUUCCUAUACUUUCUCAUUAAUUAUCUUGAUAAAUAAAUAGUUUCUAUGGCUGAUUUUCAGACAUAAAACCAAAUUGAUUUUUAAAGAUAUUUGUUUCAAGUCUUAUCCUACUUUCGAUAACUCUUUCCUAAAGUUUCGUAGUAUGAUUCACAAUUUUAAUUCAUCUAUAAUUUGAAUAAUUUUGUAUGUCAACCUUAUUUUUGUAAAUUGAUACUAAAAAACUUCUUCUCUAUUUAUCAGGCAUCCUUCUGAAUCUCAUGAUUUUAUUACAUAAACUAAUUACCAAGCUACUUCCUUAUCAUCUAAACUUGUUCAGACCUCAAUAUGAAUACCAUCAGGCCCCCACACUCCUAGUUAUUUUCAUUUACUUUAAUACACCUUUCACUUUACUAGCUCUAAUUUUACGAACAAAUCUAUGAUCAUUAAAUCUACCACUAUUAUUUAUUGUUAAAUCUAAGUCUUGUGUGGAACAUUUAUUAAAUAAUUUAUAAAAAUAAUUUUUUAUUUUUUCUUAGUCUCGUUAUCGCUAACAAAUAUUCUUUGAUUUUUGUCUUUAAUGCAUCUAAUAUUUUCUAAAUCCUUAUACUUUUUUCCUUAGCUUUAGCAAUUCGAUAUAUAUCUUAAUCACCAUCUUUAGUAUUUAAUUUAUUAUAAAAAUUAUCACAAUCUUUAUAUCUUGUCAUACUAACCACUUUUUUAGCCUCUUUUUUAUAUUCUUUAUAUAUUUUAAGUUCUUUCUCAUUUUUACAAUUUUGCUAAUCUUUAAAACAUGAUCUUCUAGUAAGAAAUGCUUUUUGAAUUUCCUCACACCACCACCAACUCUCUCUCAAGGUUACACCUCUAUAUUUAGUUUUAUCAAGAAUCUCCUUUAUUAAGCUCCUAAUCUUAUUAGCCAUCGAUAAACAUGAUCGCAAGAUUCUUUAAAUUAAUGAAAUCAACCAUAACGGCUAUUGUAUGAGUAGAAAACAAUCUGAAAAAUACAACAUGAGAAGCAUUUAAAAAUGAAGGCUCAACUAGCUAGUGAUGCAAGCACAAAGCACAACUCAAAACAGAAACUAGUAAUGAGAGAGAUAAGGAUGACUUAGAUGAAAGUACAAAUAAAAUGAUGCAAUAAUAGACUAAAGAAGAGAAGCUAUUAGAGACCAUAACUUUUGUGAUCUUUUUACUGUCUCAUAUUUCUUCAACGCUCUCACUCAUCCACCCAGAGACUAUAAGAAGUCGACAAGCAAAUAGAAACAACUAAAACCAGCUAGGAGAAGAAAAAUAUACAUGCCAAAAAAUAACUUGUUAUAUAAUACAGUGUCUAUGGUGUUUGGUGAUUUUUAGCUAAAAACAAAGAGAAAUAAAUAUGAUGAGAUAUAUCCUUUUGUUUGUACGGUAACCAUUCUAUAUUACAAGAAUAUAUAUACAGAUAGAUCAUUGCAAUAACUACUUGUUAAUAUAGGUUAUAAUAAUUAAUAAACACAUUUUAUUGGUUCCAAGCUGAAAAGUUUAGAUGGAUGAUAUGAUGGUGUUGUAUACAGAUAUUACAGUACUUUGUUAAGGACCCUCAAAGGCACCUCUCCCAGAAGAUCAUACGGGUGUUAUUCAGCUGCAACAGGACCAGAAAUAGUUAGGUACCAGCAUUCCGGUGUUCAAUAGGUCCAAACCAAAAGGCUAAACUAAACAAACAGGAAUUUCAGGUUGGUCCAUUUCAGUUGUAGGAAUUAAAAGAAUAACAAAUUUUGAGAAAAAGUAACUAGUCAUUAAAUCCCUUUGUUCCUGUGUCCAGUGCUCUAACAAAGGAGCAACGAUAUGACCACUUAUUCAAAAAAGAAAGACUUGAGCUUUCAGGACAAAGAUGAACCGAGAAGAGCAAUAGGAUCUUAAGUAAAUAGUACGGUGUCAGAUCAAUGAUGUAUUAUUCUAUGCGAAUAAAAAAAACUUUUUAAGCAAUACAGGAAUAGUAAAUUACAUAAAUAAUUUGAUCAUGACAUUUCCCUGCAACCUGGUCCUCUUUGUUGAGCAUCUAGUUGAUUUUCUCAAUAUACUUCUGACUAAGAUUAUGGGGACAAGAACUUGGUACCCCAUAGAUGGGAAAAUAACACGUUAAAAUGGAUCAAUACCUAAUAUUGCUUGGCACUACCACCAUGGUAUGCUGUUACAUGUAAAAUUAGGAUAAUAAUUUCUCUAUAGAAAUUUCAUCAGAAUUGCUGCCUUGAAGAAAGACAUGCCUGUUGCAUGACAUUACCUUUGAUUGUCUCUCUUUUACAGCAGCAAGCAUCUCUUCCUCUUUCUUCAGCAUCUCUAAGAGAUCAAAAGCCUGAAAGUAGAGCAGUAACAAAAAAAAUAUGAAGACAAGAUCAACUAUUAAGAAAAACUAGAAAAAGGCGUUGUAGAAUAUACAGAUAGUGGAAACUACAAAGAGACAAAACAAAAAACUUCAGAUCUGACCAAGCUGACCUUGCAGAUAGACAAGGAAAUGGUUGUGAGCCAUGCCUGCAAAUAUUAACAUAGCCAACAUUUAGAACUUUCGAGUUUCAACAAAGAUUCAACAUCCACAAGCUAUAUAAUUGGUGUUUGGUUAUAUUAAUUAUUAACAUCUUUUGAACAAAUUUAUUGAGAUAAAUGCUUGAAAAACAGUAGAUUUCUGGAAAUGCACCAAAGAGACUGAAGGUAAAGGUGCACAUAGAAAAACAGAAGUUGAAAAUACCAAAAAAAAAAGAUGAGAUGAAAAUCAUUUACAGUGAUUUACAUAUCAUGACUAACUUUAUUUUUUUUAUUUAACAAUCAUUUCUAAUCUGGGAAGCAUAUGCGAGUAGAACUACAGGAGCAAAAUGAUGUGUAAGAUCUAAAUCCAGACAAAACAUAUAUGAUCGUAGUAUUACUAAAAGCUAAUACAAAAUACGGAAAUAAAACUAGUGCAACUCUUUUAAUAAGUCCGGAAUGAUGAACCUGCCUCAUCCUUGAAGCAGUUCUGAAGGUUUCACUAUCAAAGGUUUGCAAUUUAGUGUAUGGCAAUCAGGGCUCAGACCAGUACCACACUGAUCCAUACCAGUGUACCGAGAGUUACUACACUGGUACAUACGGAGUUUCAGAAAAGCCAAGAAACUGUCUGGUACAAAGCCUGUACCGUCCCGAGAGACAGUCCAGGUCCUGCAUUGGGGCAUACCACCCAAUUUACCCUGGUUGGCAUACUGGUAAGCUGUUGAACCAACCAAUAAAUACAGCUUGUACCAUGCCACACUGGGCAUGCAGUAUUGCAAACCUAGUUUUCUACGCAGAAGUUUGGAAAGCCAUCCAACAUAAAUCCACAUGCAAGUAUCAAGUAUUACACAGACUAGUAAGGGUCCUUUUACUAGAUGCAAAUAAAAUUGACGUAGAGUGACUGCUGUACAAGGAAAAAUCAAUCAUUUAUAUUUCUUAUUGACACUUGAGAACUGCAAAUUAUCAUUCUUAUUUUAUCAUAUCUACUGACCAAAUGCAACAAGUUCUAAAUAGUAAAUAAUCCAUUAAAUCAGCAAAGGCUCCACCAUAGCAAUUUAAAGAUUAGGUCGGAUGAUUGGCCAAGGAAAAGUGAAGGACCACAAAAAGGACCAGUGCCGGUUGAAAAGGAUGCGAUCUCUCUGAACAAAUAGCAUUUAGAAAAAAAUACAUGCUUUUCUAGUAUAAUGCCAUUAAAUUUUUCUCCAAAUGAAAUCAGUUCAAAUAGUUACAAGAUGCUAAAUAACAAAUGCAAAGGCAAGCAUCAGAUCUGAUGAGAAAUGUCUGACACCCAGACUGUGCUAAUGGAUGUCUAACUAAUGGAAGAUGUAUUAAAUUAAUCCAAAAUGAGAUCCAACGUUUAUCAAAUGCAAACCCACAAUGUAAACAACUAUAUAAGAUAACAAUGAGAUUCAGUAGAUCAUGCAUUACGAUAAAAAAGUCUAUAUCGUCAGAUUUAAACAAGUUAUAUUGUCCAAUAUAUGGAAGUGACCAUGGGCACGUACAUGGGACACAGACAUGACACGACACGAACACGGCAACAUGUCAUUUAAAAAAAAAAUAGGACACAGAUACGGCAAUGACAGGUGUAUUUUUAAUAUAUAUAAUAUUUGAUUAAUAUGGGUUUUAUAAGAUUUAUACUUAAAUUUAUAAAUUCCACAAUGUGAAUAAAUAAAUUUCAUCAUACAGAUUAAAAUAAUAAUAAUAAUCUAAAUUUAACUAUCAUAAAUAAAUGUUGAGUGCAUCAAAUACUAUUUAAGAAUCUCUAGAUAUAAUUGAUAUAUGUUUCCUUGCGACGAUCUUCAUAUUUCUUUUCUUGUGAAGCAUAUGACCCUCACACGAGGACCACGCGAGCGCCACACGCGAGUGUCCAACACGUGUGUCCAUGGGUCCGACACAUGUUGAACACGUCCACCAAUCUUAGAAUAACACAAUGCCAAUAUAGCAUUAAAUUUGAAAAGGUCAGAUAAUAACUUUUAUAUGGAUUCUAAUGUCCAAAAUGGUUAAUUCAAAGCAAUUUUCAAUAAUUUAAGCUUUUCUAGAUAAUUAUGCAAAGUGUGCAAGAGAUAGUCAACAAAAUAAAAUGUCUAAUUUAAACAUCAACCUACUUGUGUUGAUUAUCAAACAUUGAAUCAUUGAUAGUUCACUCUUAAACAAGAAAUCAAACCUCUCUUUCCUCCUCUCCAUCAUCAUCAAGUACAUCUUCCUCCCCAACUUCAACAGGUGAAGACAGAGCUGCUGCCCUCAAGGACCGCCAACGUCUCUCCUUUUUUUCUUUGAUUUCUUGCAACUUUGCUUCUGCAGCUCUCUGGCGUUUGAAACGAGCAAUCUAGUGUUGAUUCAAUUAAAGAAAAAGAAAUAUCAUUAGCAGACAUGGAGAAAUGAAAUCAGCCAAAAGACAACUGGAGUCAAAACAGGGACUUUUCUAUUUGUGUAUAAACACUCAUUAACAGAGUGAUAUGCUAAAGUCUUUUAUAUUACUAGCAAGGUGAACGAGCAAACAACUGGAAAUAGAAACUCAACAUGUUUCCAGUAACAGAUAUAUAAAAAUUUCCCAUAACUGUACAAGCUCCUAGAUUGAAUCAUCAAUUGAGGUAACAAACAAUCAACUGCUAUAUCCAAAGUUGAAAAUCAAUGACUUCAAAUGAAAUAGAGAUAUAAAAAAAAGUACAAGCAGUUGAUGUGGCAGCACCAGAUUGGCACAAUUGACCUUGGUUUAUUAUAUAUACAAAUAACAAAGAAACAAAGCCAAUGACAUCUAACAUGUUUCAGAAUUUCUAGGAAAAUGAUAACAAGACAUCAUUGGCAUACACAAACAUUCUUUUAGCAAAAUCAAUCAAUGCAACCACAAAGUGGUGAAAUCUGAAAUGCUACAUGAACAUUCAUCAUGGCCUUUAUUCUACAAUUCUCAGAUAAUCAUUGCUUUUGCAUUUUGUAAAAAGAAAAAGAAGAUGCUUUGAUAAUAUAAACUUCAUAAAGCCUGAAAAGCAUAACCAAUUAUUCCAUACACAAAAGCAAUGGAUGAAAAUCGCAAAUACUUGAUGUAAGCAGCAUAGUUAGAAGGAAAUACUAGGCCAACAGAUCUUAAAUUUUUAACUUGCAACAGAUGAGUACAUAUGUUUAUCUUAAAUAUUUGAUGUACACAACAUAUUCACCUUUUUUGCCCUUUGAUUUGCAGGAGUGUUAGCCCCUCUUUGACUAGAUCUUUCCAACUCCUCUUCAGGAAUAAGCUCCAAGGUUUCACAAAUUGAAAUAAACUCCUACAUAUAACAAUAGUCACAACAAACAAAGUACCAUCAGAACAUGAAAAACAAUUUUACCAUAACAGCAAGCAAAUUGCAUCCAAGCAAAAGAACUAGAUGCUUUAUAUGAAUGCUUGCUAGUAAGUUCUAGAAAACCAGCAUUCAACCAGUUAUGUCUCACCUUCAAAUGGUCCCGCGAAAUUUUAAGAACCUUUAAUCUGCCAUCUUCAGCAACUUUUUCUGUCAAUUCCCCAAUAUAAAACGGGACCUGAAGAAUGAUACAAAAUCCAUUAAGAUAAAAGACGCAUAAAUUCACUAAUCUAACCUAGUGAAAAAGAGUAUGUGACUGUCCACAUUAGAGCAAAACCUUGCACCAUAGAUAUGAAGCAUAUAGUAGAAAUAAAUUUUUUGGUUAUUCAGAUGCAUGAUAUAGUAAAGAUUAGCCUUAUUGUCAUGGUAAAGUUACACUUUUGCAACUAGUGUAAUAGGGUGGUCACAACCUUGUCUUCUGGGAAGUCUAAACCAUAACACCUAAAUUACUUAAGUGCAAAUUAAUAGUAGUAGACUCAAACAUCCCCAUUUCCAACGUGUGACUAAAUUGAGGUGUUACAAUUUUCCUCGCUCGGGACUUGACAUCUUCAUCAAGGCUCAAAAUAGUCCAAUAAUUAAACCCUCUACCAUGGUGCAUGUGAAACCCAACCUAGUAGUGAUUCCAAACCGUUAAUGCAUCUUCAGACCCAUCUGCAAAUAGCCCUUUCUUCAUUUAGCCCCUUUCACCAUACCUAAUACUAGGACUCCUUUGAUACCAUUUGUUAUGGCUUGACCUAAUGAGAUAAUUGAAUUUAGGCCAGUUUACCAUACCUAAUACUAGGACUAUUCUGAUACCAUUUGUCAUGACUUGACCUAAGGAGAUAAUUAACCCAUUAAUUUUAUAGGUCUAAACCAUGUAGCCCAAAAUGCUUAAUCUCAGAUUAAUGGAAGCAUACUCAUCUAUCCUUCAACUCAAAUCUCCUCUCACUUCCAAUGUAUAAACAUGACUAAUCUAAGAUGCCAUAGUUAAGAGAAACAAAUACAAUUUCUCGGCCUGCAAAGGUAUGGAUACAUAUAUCAACUCUCCUUAGACUAUCCAUUGGUGGAAGCCUUGUGCAUUGAGCCAACCUUUUUCAGAUAUACGAUACAACAGUUAAUAGAAUUGAAAGCCCAUCAAUCCUAGAUAAGUUUUAACAGCCACAAACACAUCCAAAAGCUUAAGUUAUAACCACACAUGUAAGGUAGUUGAAUGACAAGGCCAGCACCAGGAACUUUAACUUCUAAUAUCCUUACACUCUAUGUAUAGUGUUGAAUAGGAGUUCUCAAAACUUCAGCAUAAGACCUCUCAAUCCAACAGUAUGUCAGCGCGUUUAGCUACUCAUAUGCUAACACUCCUAACUUCACUCCUGGUUAUGAUAGUUAUGGUAGAUGAAUAAACAAACAACAAUCAACUCCAUCCCCGUUAUUUCACCUUUCUGUUUUUAAUUCUGUCUUACAAGGCAUAGCAUCUCGAUUGGAAUCUUCUUUCUGUUACAGGACACCCUUACAACCAACAAUUCAUAGAAGCUCAUGAAAAACUCAUCUACGGACCAUAAAUCAACACAAAGCUAAAGCUAGCUUUGACAUGUGAAAUCUUUCUUGGAUGCAUCAUUUAUUAAUGCCCUAGAUACAGUUGCUCUCCGAGUUGAAUCAUUAAACAACUAACUUGGAAUCCACAAGUUCAACCCAAUCCCAUAUUCACAGCUCCAGUUACAUUAAGUACCCUUAAGUUCACUGUCACAGCUCAGGUAGCAUUACAAACUUUCAGAUAGGUACCGUUACAAAUUCUGAAACCUAGAUAAAGGAGAUCAGAGAACAAGCACAGUUUUUAAAUCAGAGACUACGAUCUCAAUACCCUAACAGUCCAAACAAGAAACAUAAUUUGCACAUCUUAUAUGCCUUUUUAAAUAAUUUAUCCUUAUAUCAAUUAAAAGGCACGAGAAACUACCAAGUCCAUGAAAGUUUUUCACGACGAUUGUAACCCAUGACAGAUUUCCAUUACCCGUAUUUUUGUCAAUUCAAAUUCAAAGAAAGGAACAGAACAUUUACCAAUAAGUACUUCAGAUUGGCGGUGCUGACAUCAUCCUUUGUUUCGUUGGACGAGAACAACCCUAACUUGCUUAUCAUCUCAUCACAUCGCCGCAAUGUCUGGAUCCCCUUCCUCAGAGCUUCCUAGAAUUCGAAAGCAUCCAUUACCAAUGAGAAAGAACGUUGCACCAAUCGUACGAGUGCUUCAGAUUUCGCAGAGGAAAAGAAGAAACGAAAACAAGGAAUUCAAGAUGACCUAAACCGUAAAUACUAAUCGAUCUAUUUCACGAAGGAAAGAGGAAACGCGAACCCGAUCGACGGAAGACUCGGAUGCCAUGGCAUGGAUCUUCGAGGCCUCCUCGAACAGCGCCGGGAGAGGCAUGUCCUCCGUCUUCCAUUCUCCCAUCGGAUCGACGCCAAGCGAGAGCGACCGAGGUCGACUACAAACCCUAGGAAUACGAAUUGGAUGCGAGGAAGGUGCCGACGAAUCGGAUCGAAGCCGAGACGAACAGAUCCGCGAGAGUGGGUAUAAAGCCGACAAAGAAGAGAGGGGCGGAAAGAACGAGAAGGGGCUCGAAGUGACGUGGCGAACAUGACUUGAUCAAAUUCUGACCGUCGGAUUCAACCAUUUGCGGCCAGAUUUCGACGAGUCCGAUUUGUUACGACAUCGAAAAUGGUACGCAGUAAGGUUAAAUGUAUCCAAUAUCGAUACACGGUGAAAUGACACGUCACGAUAUAAACAAGUAGGGUUGAUUUGAACCGACCCGGAUCGACGGUUCAACCAUUUUACUUGUGUCAAAUUUGAAAUCAAUUGCGAUUUAGUCCAUUUUGAUUGGCCAAAAAAAUUAAUUAUCAAAUUAUUAAACUGCAAUUUUAAAAGGCUAAUCCUAUGCCGUAAAAUCUAUUUAUUUUUUAUAUCUGAUUUCAAUUUUUAGGAAUAAAAAAUCAAACCAUAUGAUUUGAUUUUGGUUCAAUUCAAAAUCGUUGAACCGUCGGUCCGGUUCGGUUCAAAUCAACCCUCCUUGUUAAUAACAUUAUAGGGUAAUUGAGGAUGAAUUAAAUGAAAAAGAAUUAAAUAUCAAAUCAUAUACUUUCUAGUAAGUAAAUAAACAUAUUGGGCUUUGUGGGUUAUUGGAUUGGGUCAUGACAUCAAUCAUCUCAAAUUGUAAUUUUAUUCUCCGUAAAAACGAAAGUGGUGAUAGUGACGGGAGACAAAGAACUACAGCAAUCGAUCUGAUCCCAAUAGUUCCAACCCUCCAUAAGCCCUAACAGUGGCCGACUGCACCGGUCUCUUUUGUAUGUAAUGCCCACAUGAGCUUUGUCGGCAGUAACGGGGGCCGACCUCCGUUGCUUCCGUCGGAAGACAGUGGUGUUUGACCCGCCAUUGCCGUUCCGCAUUCUGCAGCUGCAGAGCUCGAGCGUUGCUGCCAUUGAGAAACACUUUGUCCAUUGCUUCUCUUGUUUUUGGCGAUUAAUCUUAGCCUAUCGUGUACUCGUCUUUUGCCGUAGCGUUGGCCUUGUGGGUGGUUCUUCUGAUUCCUCGUUUCCUUUCUGCAGGUGCUUUCAGCUUUCUUGUCCCCUCCGUUCUCUCUUUCUUUUUUCUUUUUUUUUAAGGUGAAGUAGAUUUAUAGACGAAUUUUGGAAAAAAAAAUCAUCUUUUUUAUUUUUUUAUGAGAAACACCUCUUAUAAAAUAUUUUUUCUAAUAUCCCCUUUUAUCUCAUUUUUUUUAUCUAUAAACCGACUGAGUUAGUUCAGUUAUAAUAUUUUUAUUUAUUUUCAUAAUAUUAAAAAAAUAGUAGUAUAAAAUAUGUUAUCAUAGUGUUUUAUUAAUAUUAUUAAAAUAAAAUUAUUAUAUUAUAAUAAUUUUAUAUUAUGUUAUUUUUUAGUAUUAAUGAAAAUACUAUAAUCUAAUGUAAAAACAAACUAAUUAUAUAUUACAUCAUAUAAUUAGUUACUUUAUAUAUAAUUAAAAUAUUAAGAUCUUUAUAUAUAAUUAAAAUAAUAAUUUUAUAAAAUUAAAAUUUUAAAGUAAUGAGAUUAAAUAUUUUAAUUUUAUAGGUAUAUGGAUCUCAAUGUAAUUUUUAAAAAUAUAAUGAUUUAAAAAUAACUAAUUAAAAAAUAAUAUUUAAUUAGCUCAGUAAAAACACUAUUAAGUUGCAUUGCUGUUCUGCAAUUAGCACACGCAAUGCUCUCCAAAGCUUGAAGUAACGAAGCCAUGUGAAGACUGCACGUACGUGUUUUUUAUAUGUAGACGACCCGCAAACAAAGCUGGUUGGUGGUCGACCACAAUCCUCCAUUAAAGAAGCUGGUCGUUGGAACUCGAGCAUGCACCAAACUUGCCGCAAUAAGUUUACUGCGACUUACUCUCACGAGACCAGUGGAAGAGCAGUAGCAUCGAAACACUUCAAUGUGUUGGUGCCGUGUCCCUGUUGCCUCCUUUUGCAGCUGCAACCUCUCUACUUGCUCUCUCUCCUUGUCUUCCUUUUUGCUCUCAAGUUCAAGAAAUGUCACCUGCAUUAAGUCAUCUUUCCUUGACUCAAGCAACACAGACAAGAAACCCCACCCCUCUCUCUCUCUCUCUCCCUAUUGUGUCUUUUGCUAGUUUGAACAACUGUGGCAAGAGGGAACGACGAGAAAGUGUCUUGCUUAAGCUAAAUUUCCAUUGUUUUGUUGCCAUCUAGAAUGAAAAGAAGGUGGAUUAAUGCUCGCAAUCAAGAGCUCUACUUUCCACCAAAGCAAGAGAUAAACAAAUCUCAGAACAUGUAUCAUCUACAUGCUGAGUUCUCCUCAAGUACAUUAUUCUUAUAUCGAAAAGAGAGAGCCUUUUCUUCUAGCUCGAGAGGCUAUCAACCCUAGAAAGACCCGUUCCUUGAAUCCUGAGGGCAUAGAUGCGAGGAAUCCAUCGAAUGGGAUGCGUAAUUGGCUGUGUCUGAGGCAAGCAAUCUCCUUGGGACCAAAGUGAUGAAGAAAAGGCUAAGCAUAUCAUAGUAGUGUAUACAGCCAAAGUACAUCUGUUGUCCACAUGAUUGACUUCUCUUUCAUGAUUGCAUUGUUAGAAGAAGCUACACCUUGUUAUCAACUUUUUAGAGGCUUUUGAUAUCUAUUGUUCUUUAUCCAAUCAAAAAAGAUAAUAUUCACAUGCUUUUUACAUAUAUAUAUCCAUAUUUAUUGUUACAAGCCUUUCAUAAGAUAAAUUUGAAAGCUAAAAAGGUCUAUUGUCAGUCUCAACAAUGCUAAUAACUCUGAGCUCAAUUACUAAUUGCAAAGUACAGUAAAAUGGAGUCCUAAUUUCAUGAUUGAUGUAAAAGUCCUCUUAAACAAAUAAUAAAAAAAAUUAACCUAAGGGUAUUUAAUUAAUCUUUUAUUAUAUUAUAAAACUGAUUCAAUAUAUAAUAAAAAAAAUUAUACUAAGUGUAUUGAGUAGUCUUUCAUUAUAUUAUAAAAUCGGAUCGAUUCAUGCUCGUUGUUAUCCAAAAAUCGUCUAGAUCAAUUUUUUAAUGAAUUCGAUCCAAUAAUUGAAUCGGUCCAUCGAUGAUAUUAUUAUUAUUUUUUCCGUUUAACCAUCGGAUUCGAUCUGAUUUAGAUAACUAUUCAUAAUUCAAUGUUUAUCUAUAAUAUUGAAUUACAACCAUUACAAUCUAGUUUACACAUCAAUCAAAUCUGUUGGCCUUAAUUCUAGAAGGAGUCUCCACUAAGCUUCAUGAUUAUAAAUGGACUGAUCACCAAAAAGAUGAGCAAGAGCAAUCCUUCCAUGUGGCCAUUCUCUUUUUCCUUGCCACAACAGCUUAGGCUGUUCCCUUAGCUGAAGAGAGAAGGAAUGGUACAUCAUUAGGUGAGGUGCAUGGUCUCCAUUCUGAUAGCAGUUGUAAGGUCUCUGGGGAUCUGGAUGUAGUACUUUUCUUGGUCAUCUCCCUCCUUUACAGGUCUCCAUUUCUGGGUUUGCUUGGGGCUGUGAUGAGGAGGAAUGUGGUGUAAAAAACACCUUUGGGUCUGAUUCUAUAAUGAGAUUAGAUAAGAGGAAGAAGUAAUCCUCCAUUAAAAAAGGCAAUGGAGUUGGACUUUUGGCAGGCUGGGGAGACAUGAACAGUGACUACAUGUGAUACAGUAUUAUUUUUGAUGAACUUGUGACUUUGAGGACUUUGUGACAAUUAUUGUCUUUAAAUGUCACCAUUCAUGCCAUCAGAGAUGGCUACUUUCUUUGGCUUCCUGCUGCAUAAGCAGUGCAAUUAACUGAGCUUUUGCAAAGAACUUGUUUUCUCAUUCCAUAGCAGCUGACUGCUGCUCAUGAAGCUUGAUCCCUAAAUCUAUUGUGAUCAUGAUACUCAUUGAUACGAGCAGCAUGGUCUCAUCAUUCCAUUUAUCGACUACGAAAUCGAAACUUCACUUGCUUAUCUUGAACAAUUGACUAACUUAAAUAUCAAAGAUAUCUCACACCUAUAAUACUACUUGCUUGAAAGUUGCAAGUUUUCUCAUGAUAUAAUUUUUAUCGAUGACUCGUUCGAUUCUAUGUUAGAUAAGUUAUAGACUAAGAUCUGAUUGGAUCAGCUUUGUCCAACACAAGGAACAAAUCAUAUUCAACUUGUGAAGAUAUUAUUCAUGCAAUUUUUUUACAAAAUAAGGCUUAUAGUCUACUAUGUGAUGAUUUAAUGCCGGCACUAUGGAAAGGAAGCCUAUUUUUCAUUGAAUACAAGAAAAGUAAAUGGCGGAAGACAAAGUCUUGUCACUGACACCUGAAACAUCCAAGACAGCAGAUGAACAAUCAGAGAGCUUUGACAGAGUCCAAAAGAUCAUCUUCUUCAAAGAUUAGAGCCACAUGUUCAAUGACUUCUUGUGCCACAGCUAAACAUGAACAACUUGCUACAGAAGACAACCCAGUCCAUCUUUUCCACCUUUAGCUUUCCGCUGUAGACUGAACCCCACCACCUCAUGGAGAAGGGCAAAGUAGCCACAGAAAUGGUUCACUACAGCAGAGACCAGUCUUCUUACAGAUGAAGCUGAGUCGCCAUUACAGCAGAGGAAAUGAUGGGGAGGAGAUGGGAAGGAAGUGGGCAGUGGGUUGGUCCUUUUCACUGAAAGCCAGGGAAUCGUUUCUGCAGCUUUGUGGCUUCUUUUCUCUGGCAGAUGGAAUCUCCAAUCUCACAUUGUUUGCACCCCAUACGCUGCCAUGAUUCCUGGGUAACGUUGAUGCGCCCACCAUUUCCCUAUCUUUUCUCUCAAUCAUACCAACAAAGCUGAUGGCUGCCACCGCAAGUUCCUUCGGUUGUGCUUGUCAGCUACGACAUGAUCACCUCUCGUCCCACGUCCCCUUAAAGUCAGCUGCUUGUUCUUAGGAUGCGAAGAUGCUGUAGCUUCUAAUCGUUUCCGAUCGAAGAAUCUGUGUUUGUUUGGAGGAAAUUUGGAAGAAUGGCAGGCGAGGAGGAACUGUUAGCUUCCUAUCCCAUGUAUUUUGGAGUUUCUUGCGCUUUCGUUGCUAUCGAUCUUAUGUCGAGGAGGAGAUGUCUCGAUGUGGAGAGCAGCCGGCGUUCUCGCUUAGGGGAAAUGAUGCUCAAGGGGAGUGCUCAGCUGCUGGGUUUGCUUGUGGAGAGAGCUCAAAGCAGGGGAGGGGCUCGGGAGAUGAAGCUAAAGAAAGCUGAAUUGGAGCUCGAUGAGCUGAAGCGGAGAAGAACCGAGGACGCCAAGGCCAAUGAGAAAGUCGUCGCCAUCUUCGCUGCCCAUGAACAGAGAUGGAUUGCGGAAAGGAAGAGUCUGAGGCUUCAGAUCCAAGCUCUGGUCAAGGAGCUGCAGAUCAUGAAGUCAAAGCACGAAGACGCCAUUUCGAAUUUGGAGAAGAGGCUCGAGGAGGAUGAGCGAGUGAUGCUACUCAAGGACGAGACCUUGGAGCAGGAGCAGAAGAAGAGGAAGGAGAUGGAAGAAAAGCUACAACUGGCGGAAGAGGUGGCCGAGGCGGUGACGGAGAGGGCGAAGCAGGAGGCGCAGGAUCACUCUGCAGAGCUCUGGAAGCACAAGACUGCGUUCGUGGAGCUCGUCUCGAGUCAACGACAAAUGGAAGCCGAGAUGGGCCGUGCCCUCCGGCAAGCGGAGGCAGCGAAGCAGGAGCUUGAGGAGGUACUCGAACGGAAGCAAGAAGUUGCUGCCAUGGUCGACAGGCUAUCGCGGGAGAUGGUAAAGAUGCAGAAGGAUUCGGAGCAAAAGGAUAAGAUCUUAUCCGCAAUGCUGAGGAAAUCCAAGCUUGACGCAGCAGAGAAGCAGCGGCUUCUGAAGGAGGUGAAGAUGUCCAAGGCCAAGAAGAAGCAAGCCGAGCUGGAGAUGGAGAAGUGGAGGAACAUGUGGGAAUCAAAGCACAAGAAGAGCUCGAGGGACCUCCAUUCCGUGGAUGUGGGAUCUUCCCAGCUUCGAAGACUAGAAUUGCCGCUGGAAACCAGUGGGCAUAACCCCAAGAACCUCCUCCUUGAUUGCUUUGCAGCUGAAGGCAAGAAAGAACAAGACUCUUCCACAACAAUUGAGGAUGACAACGGCACAGCUGCUGGAUGCUAUGAUCACUACUCCGGUGAUGAAGCCGAUGAGCCUGGUAAGGUUGCAUUAAGCUUUCUAGAUACAGAUAUUAACUUACGGGAAGAACAUGAUCUUUAAGCUGAUAAUUUACUAGGCAUGGAUGACUUGCAACGAUUGCAAGAUUGGAUCCGCAGGGAAACCGAGAAAUAUGCAACCAUCCUUGAGCAGAAGCACUACGCAGAGAUCGAUGCAUUCGCAGAACAGAUGAGGCAGAAGGACGAGAAGCUCGAAGCUUUUCGCUGGCGGGUGCUGAGCAUGGAGCUUGAGACGAAGCAGCUUAAAUCCCACAUUGAAGGGCUCGAUGGUAACUUAUUCCACUUGAGGGAGGAAAACAUCAGAUUGGAAGCCAUGUUGCUGGAUAAGGAACGGGAGAUCAAGUCACUGAAGGAGGAAGUCAGCUUCCAUGUCCGAAAUGUCGAGCGGAACAGCUCGAGCUUUCUUCCAUGUCCUGAGGCUUGUCUAUCUCAGUCUCUUUGGCCAGAAGUCAAGAUCACAAACAAGAGACCAACAGAGAAGGCGGAGAAGGAUGAUCAAAAUGAUACAGAGGACACGACAGUGAUGCAGUCGGGAUCACGUAGUGAGAGAGAAGCUUUGCUCGAAGAAAGCGGAUCCAUCGAUGUUGAUGACACAGAUUCAGCUGAGUCACCAUCACCAACCAGUAAUCUUCAGGACCGUAUCGAUAGAACAGUGAGUCUCUCUGAAGACCAAGCAAACAACAUCUCGGUGACCUCCAGUUCUGCGAACAGAGAGAUCGAAGAGGAGGAGGUGAACUUGGCGCGGGGCAAUGCUCAAGAAUCAAAUAGCCGCCGAAAAGGCUGUGCUGAAACUGCAGGUGUGAUGAAGGACACUUCAUGGAAGAUGGACAUCCAAGCUCUUGCUAUCUCCUACAAGAUCAAAAGGCUAAAACAGCAGCUAGUUGUGCUCGAAAAGUUGGUUGGUUCACAAGCAAACAAAGAUGAUGCAUCAAGCACACCUGACGGAUCUAAUGACGAGAAGAGGGAUGAGCACAGGCAGCAGCUCAAGGGGCUCCUGCUACUGAAAUCUCUACUCCACAAGCAACUGAAGAGAUAUCAGUCUCUGGAAGAGAAGACCGACGACCUGUGCAGGAGAAUGGUAAGCAUCUGCCGAUCUUUUGUGCACUAAGACAUUCUACAUCAACUCAUUCCCCUGAUGUCGUUCUCUUACUAUCCCAGCACGAGAACUAUCGUUCGGGAAGCAGAAGAGAGUCGCAGAAUGGCAGGACAAAUGAACAAACGGUGACACUGCGGCGAUUCCUCGAAGAGACAUUUCAGCUGCAGAGGUACAUGGUGGCAACAGGACAGAAGCUGAUGGAGAUGCAGACGAGGAUCGCAUCUACCUUCUCCGGUGCUGUCAUGCUUGACGAGUCGGUAAAGUUCAACAUGGGGCAGUUUUCAGACAUCGUUAGAACUCUUUUCCGGGAGAUACAGAGAGGUCUGGAGGUGCGAAUAGCUCGAGUUAUUGGAGACCUCGAAGGAACACUAGCUUGUGAUGGAAUUCUUCACAGGUGGAGCUGUGGACAUGUGGUAUGAUAGAUGAUCCCAGAGAAAUGCAAAUGUAAUCUCUUCCCCGCUUGGAUGUUUGAUGUAAGAAAAAGGAUCUUAGAAACAGUUUGAUGCUUACAUGUUUGCAGCCAUUGCCCAACCAAUCUGUCUUCCGUUUCCCAGAUUCUUGCUGAUGCUUAGUCUUCUUCUCUAAAGAGAUGGGUAAAUCUAGUGACUUUAGAUUUUCGAAAUAUAAAUUAUGGAAAUAACAUAAAUAAUUUUGGAUAAUUUACUAAAAAAAUCUCGAAUAAUGAGAGAUGAUGCCCAAUAUUUGGUCUUUCUCUUUCCUCCUCAUCCACUCUUCUCUUCCUCCCCUUCUCCUUCUUUUCCUCCAUCUUCUCUUCAUCAAAGUCUACUUAGAUCACUCAUCAUACUUACUCUCAUUCAAAAAAAUACAUUUAAAAUAUAUUAAUUUAUAAAUAUAUUAAUAUAUAAAAGUAUCCUAAAUUUAUAAUAAAACUACAAAAUUCAAGUUAUCAUAAAAAAGUAUUAAUUUAUAUAUAAAAUUAUCCUAAAUUAUUCAAAAAAUCAUCAUGAUCAAAUUAUACUUGAUCGUAGAUUCAAUACAAAAAUAUUUUAUUUUAAAAAUUAAUCAUCCUAAUUCAUAAAAAAUAAAAAAAUAAAUAUUAAAUGUAUAUAGUUUUUAAAAAGUUUGGAUAGGUUUACUAAAAAUUCAAAGAGUAGGUUCACCCUAAAAAUAACAUAUUUUAAAAAUUAAUUAUCAUAAAUUUAUAUACAAAUAAAAAAUGAUAUUAAAUAUAUUAUUAUCUUACCCUAUAGUAGUUUUGGGGAAGCUUUGAUAGAUUUGAUAAAAAAUUUAAAGAGUUAUACUUGAAAAAAUUAUAUAUAAAUAUAUUUCUUGAUGCCAUCCAAAAGAAAAUUAUAUCACCUGUUGAAAUUGCCUUAAGAUUAGUGCAAUCGACAUCAAGGGACGCGAUGCUCGAAUUACUCGUACGGAAACCCAAUCACGCUAUGGAGACUUGAUUCUUCCAGUUGGGCCCAAAGGGGACCCACAUUGUACCAUUCUGUCACCAAUCGCUAAGUAGGUGAGGCCGUGGUGCACCAAAAGUAGGUACAUAAAUAUAUACAAGGAUUGGCAUUGCUUUAAGAUGGGUGCGAUUGAGAGAUCAAGGGGCGUCUAUAUCCUCCGAACUAAUUCUUCGUCCCGGCGUCUCUCGCGCGAUCCCGUUUCUUGGAGAUCCAAACAAAAACCACCGUCUCAGGCGAACGCGAAGGUAAAAGGAUGGAGACCUUGGGGUUAGGGUUUCGAUCGACGCCCGAGAAGGAUGCCGAGGAGCAUGGGGAAGGGAGGGAAGAACGAGACCGACGACGAGAAGCGCUGCGAGCUACGUGCAUCGACGGCACCAAGUGGCACUGCCACAUCCGCGGCAAGAUUCAACAUGGUUUGACAUAUCCAGUGGUUUGUUAUAUCCACAUUGAGGUAUUUUGCCUUAGAAAACAUGUAAAGCUUCAAUAUGCUUAAUCAUGAUCUGCAGAGAACCAUGCAAUAGGCAAAUAGGAAUGUUGCUUUGUUGAAAUAGUGGAUUACUGAAUCCGAGCAGUUUAUAGGGCUAUUCGGUCCUAUUUCCAGCUGACUAUGGGAAAUAUGAACAAAAGCGCUGUCAGUAGACCAAAUCUAUCGAUGUCAAUUUGCUGUAAUAAGAAAAUAAGAAGAUCAACGAACUCCACAUAAUCCAUUACAGUUUGACCUAAUUGUCUAUUUCCAGUGUAACCAUCAGAAAGAUAGACUGUCAUUACAGCGUUAAAGAGAAGAUGAAAGAAACUGAUAUAAUUAAAGGGAAAUAAACUAGGAGGAAAUCAGUGACGACUAAAACAUGUCUUCAUUAGGUCAAUUUUCACUAGUUAAACCUCAUCAUUUAAUCUUGUGUUCCCCCUUAUAACCUGAUUUCCAAUUGGAAAUUGAAAUUUUAGUCUGUGAAUAUUAACUCAAUAUAUUUUAUAAAAGAGGGCCUUUGUUCUUUGAAAAAAUUGUAGAUCGUUAAAUUACAUACGGAAGAGUUGCAAAAAUAAACUCCUUUGGGACCAUCCGGGUAAGUUNNNNNNNNNNNNNNNNNNNNNNNNNNNNNNNNNNNNNNNNNNNNNNNNNNNNNNNNNNNNNNNNNNNNNNNNNNNNNNNNNNNNNNNNNNNNNNNNNNNNNNNNNNNNNNNNNNNNNNNNNNNNNNNNNNNNNNNNNNNNNNNNNNNNNNNNNNNNNNNNNNNNNNNNNNNNNNNNNNNNNNNNNNNNNNNNNNNNNNNNNNNNNNNNNNNNNNNNNNNNNNNNNNNNNNNNNNNNNNNNNNNNNNNNNNNNNNNNNNNNNNNNNNNNNNNNNNNNNNNNNNNNNNNNNNNNNNNNNNNNNNNNNNNNNNNNNNNNNNNNNNNNNNNNNNNNNNNNNNNNNNNNNNNNNNNNNNNNNNNNNNNNNNNNNNNNNNNNNNNNNNNNNNNNNNNNNNNNNNNNNNNNNNNNNNNNNNNNNNNNNNNNNNNNNNNNNNNNNNNNNNNNNNNNNNNNNNNNNNNNNNNNNNNNNNNNNNNNNNNNNNNNNNNNNNNNNNNNNNNNNNNNNNNNNNNNNNNNNNNNNNNNNNNNNNNNNNNNNNNNNNNNNNNNNNNNNNNNNNNNNNNNNNNNNNNNNNNNNNNNNNNNNNNNNNNNNNNNNNNNNNNNNNNNNNNNNNNNNNNNNNNNNNNNNNNNNNNNNNNNNNNNNNNNNNNNNNNNNNNNNNNNNNNNNNNNNNNNNNNNNNNNNNNNNNNNNNNNNNNNNNNNNNNNNNNNNNNNNNNNNNNNNNNNNNNNNNNNNNNNNNNNNNNNNNNNNNNNNNNNNNNNNNNNNNNNNNNNNNNNNNNNNNNNNNNNNNNNNNNNNNNNNNNNNNNNNNNNNNNNNNNNNNNNNNNNNNNNNAACUUACUUGAAGAAUAGAAAAAGUUAAAUUUCUACACAUGGAUAUGGAAGGAUCAGUCCUAUGGAAAAACUACUGCAAGAGGUGCAUUUACUUUAUUAAGAUCAAUGAAUAAUGAACUUACUCAGAGUUGGUAAGGGUGGCAUUAUCAGUGGAAACUUCCCAUAAUUCUUAGAAUUUGAUUUUCUGUUGAAAACUUCUACAUAAAUGACUCUAUACUGCUGAUAGACUUUUAAAAUUCCAUUUGCAUAUUCAGCCUACAUGUCCUUUCUGUCAAAAUGUUUCUGAAUUCAUUGAACAUAUUUUUUUAAUGUUCCUUUUCUGCUAAAUUUUGGGAUUGGUGGCAAGAUAACUUGCAGUUUACCUUUGAAUAUAAACAUGCAUGGGUUCAGGGUGACUUGUUGAAGGAUGUGUCUAAUAUUGGAAUGGAAAAAUUCAUUCAGGCAGCCAUUGAAAACUGACUCUCAUUAAUUUGGAAAAUACAUAAUAAUGCCCUGUAUAAUAGUUUAAAACCUUCCACUAGGUGAGCUGGGGCUUAGGCUCUGGCUCACACUAGCUACUAUCUCAGAACAACAAUGCCUGAAGAAAUGAUGCUAAGCAAUACUCUUUGGCUUAAAUGGCGAAAACCACGUGUAAAUUUAAUACUGAUGUAUCUACUUCUUUUCAGGAUGGAGGGGCUGGAUUCAUUUUAUGAUAUCAUAGAGGCAGUUGCAGUGCAGCAGGACUUAUGUAUAUUCAUAACAAAUCAACUUUGCAAUGUGAAACAAUAGCUGUGAAGUUGGGGCUCCAGUUCACCAUCAACAAAGGUCUCACUAAGCUUCAGACUGAAAUGGACUCAAUUACAUUAGCAAAUUUGCUGACCCUUAUAAGCAUCCAUCAUGGCUUGUAAAUCAUAUCAUUACAUCAUUUCAGAUAUUAAACACCUUUUUUUAUGACUCAAUUCCUCUAAUAUCUUGCAUUCUUUUAGAGAAUGUAAUCAGACAGCAAAUUGGGCUGCUAGGACAGCUAGAACUGAUAAAAUUGAGGAUUUUUCCCCCACCCCCAAGAUUUAUAUGUUACACUGUAAAAUGACUUAAACAAGUCCUUUGGUAGAGCUGUGAAAUCUUAAUAGAUUUACAUUUUGGAAGAAAAAAAAUUUCUGCACUAGGCAAACAUGACUGAUUGACUUCAUUAAAGUCUCAAGAUGACUCACUUAAAUCCAAAUAGACCCAGGUUGCAUCAAAAUCAUGCAAUGUUACUGUUAAUGACUAUGUUUAUUGGUGGAUAUUAGUAUUGAUGUGAUGUAUAGUACUUUAGGAACCAUCUAGUAUUGUAUACAAAUUAGUCCAUUAGUAGCACCUCUGUCAGGAGAUAGCAGCAUCUCUUUUGAGCAAACAUCAAAUUUGGAAUGUUUGAACAGCAUGUAUAACUAGUAGUUGGCAGGAUGUUGAUGAUGUACAAUGUAGAAAUGAUAUGAACUUGAUGAUUUACGGUAAAAGUCAAGUGACUGCAUACAAUCGGUUUCCUGAAACUUUCUUCAACAUUGAAUUUUACUUUUUUGCAAUCUUUUUUACGCCUUCAAUUUGAUUUUCCGCAGCAUUUCAAUGAUCUGAAAAAUUGUACUAUGAUGAUCAGAUCAACAGUGUGCUCUGUGCUGGGGGAAUGUUUGCUGAUCAUUCCCAGAUGUGAGGUGUUACCUCCGCAGAUUAUUCUGUGACAAAGUGUGAUGGUUAUUGCUUCACCUUACGCGCUGGUAACAACAUCUAACUCUAUUAGGUUUUGUGUCCUGUUCUCAUUUGAACUGAAGGGUAUCAUACUUUUUGUUCAAUUUCUCACUUUAUCAUAAGUUUCUUAUAUUUAUAUGCUUUGUUCAAAGAUAAAGCUGUUCUAGAAUUCAUCAAGUUCCACAUCAAAAGAUUAUGUUGACAUGUGCUUCUCUAGAAGGUUUUCACCACGACGCUUUCCAUGGACUUAUUCCCCUGCAUCUUUUCUUUGAUCUCUGUCAUGUGUCAUCUACUUUAACCUUGUCCUGCUAACAGUUAGUAGGCUUGUAUCAAUAUCCUAAUCCUCCAUCCAUCAAAAACUGUCUUCUGUGCAUUGUGCUCAUAUUUUUCGACCUAAACAUUUGAAGAUUUAGGAGAUGAACUGUUUGCUUGCUCUCACUGUGAGAACUUAAUUAUUUGGCUGAGAUAAUUGUACAAUGCUUAGAUGAAUAUUUUUCAACACUCGUGUCUUUCAGCAAAACACUAUAAAGCAUAGAAUACAGUAGUAAAGCACUAAUUCUCAGACUUGACCAAACACUGUAGAGCUUCACGGCCACAGUUUAUGACGUGGAAAAAUCACUGGAAAAUAACACCAGACCUCCUCUCAUAAUACUUGUAGUGUCUGCUCGUGCUUUAUUCGUCAUAAUCUAAUGGUUUUCAUUGGUCUAAUUCUCUAACUUCCAUUUCUGCUCCCGGCUUCCAGGUCCUCUUUGAGGCUCCCAUUUGGCUUCGCCAGUCCCAUCUCUAUCUUCAUCUUCCGUUCUUUGAUCUGCUGUUUAGUCGAUGCAUGGUACAUCAUGUGCAGUACCAGCUGGGCCACUGCAAAUGCCACUCCCAGGCCAUUUGGAAUCUGGAGAUUAAGCAGCAGUUCUUAGGCACAAAGAAUAUUUGAUGUUUUACAUCAAAACAUUGCCUACAGAUGGUAUGGAGAUGAUAUGCUGGUGUAGCUUUGGUAGGAGGGAGAAUCAUUUAAGUUGAUAUCAGGAGAUAGUGAGAUGAUUAAAAAUGAGAGAUAGAAGAAAUAUUUAAAACAUUCUAAAUAUUUUUUAUAAAAAAAAAUCUGUAUAGUUGACUCCAAAUGAUUGAAAUCUUAUGGUUUUGUUGUUAUAUCAAAAGCAUGACCUACGUAUGUAUAUCCAAGUAUAGGUCGGUAUAUGUUACAUGCAAUCUUACCUAAGAAAAGAGAGUGAGAAGAUGACGUAUCUAAUCGGCAUUAUUUCUAUCUACUAAAGGACCCGAAUCCAAAUCGAAAUAAACCAUACAGAAAUAGACGCAAACACAGUUCUUUAAAUCCCGUAUCGAUUUAAUUAAACUAUCAAUAUAUUCUCCAGGUGAAAGAAUAUAUACUUUACGUGACUCGUGAUGGCCCACACGAUUCUUUCCAAUCACGAUAAGACAUAGAAAGCGGAAUAAAUGGAUGUGGAAACCGUCGCUGUUAUCUGAACAGAGACAUACUGGUCCGCAUCCUCCGUUUUCUUCUUUUGGUUCACACAUUGUACAGUACUUCGUUUCAGUCUUUCAUGUUCCAAGAAAAGUGAAGAGAUGAAUUUAUGGAUAGUGAGAAGAAGGAGAGAGAGAUGAGGACUUACAGUGAUAAAGAGGUCGAAACGGAUGAGAGCGUAUGUAGUCCAACACACACCAUUGAGGAAGGAAGCAAGCGACAGGGAGAGAGGCAUGAACUCCACGCUCUUCGUCUUGAUCACCUGUUGCUGCACCCACUCAAAACACAUGAAUGAUUCAGUCUUUGACUUGGUAGAGUGGCUGCCCUACGAGGCAUCCGAGAGGAGAGGCAUGCAACUGCAGGUGGUGACAUUGCACGAGAAGCCAAGCCUACCAUGACGGACAAGGGCGCAGCGUACAUCACGGUCCCAAAAACGACACACAGCACUCCAACGAUCAACGAGCGCCGCUGGUAUCCGUGGACGAGCGUAAGGUCGACGGCAGCCACUGCACCCACGAGAAGGAUCUCCGCCAGCAGCACCGAGAACACGCGCAGCUUCCGGGCUCCGUCGGAGCACCGCAGGAAGAUGAGGACGUAGACGAGCUCGAUGACGAGGCCGGAGCCGUUGAUGGUGAGGAUUAAGGUGCUGUGUGGGUGCACCAUGGGCAGGCCGUACAGUAUCCAAAACAAGCAGUUGAGGAGGGUGGCGAGGUAGGGGGUGGCGUGGAACUGCUCCACGCUCCCACUUCUCCAUAUCCUGUGAAACGUUGGGCUGACAACAAGAGAUGGAGUCAAGUCAAUUAGCAGUCACAGGAAUCAGCUUACGAGACUACCAUUUGCAUGCUUACGCUGGCGACAAGAACAGCACCAGAGCGGUUCCAUUUCCUGCAUCCAAAGAGCAAAACAACAUCACCAUUUGACUCGGUCUCGCCGACCCACACAUCUUUAAGCUUACUCUCAUACAAACACACAGUGGAUGAAGUCCACCAACCUAUGAUCCCAACAACUGUGCGAAAGGUAUCCGCUGAAACCACCAUCUUGGGCAGAAGAGCACUUCGCAGAACCCUUGCCUUGGCCUCUUGUAUAUGUUGCUCAUACCCAACUUCGGAACGUGUUAUUUAUAGACGACGGAAGACGGUUCUGUGCAGUUCGUUAAAGGUCCUGUAUGAAUUAAUUAUUGGCCUCUCUCUGUGUGUGCGCGUGAGAGAGAGAGAGAGAGAAGUCUACGUUGUUUUUUGUGUUGUGUCGAGGUUUGUCAACUUACCCUUUGACUCCGCAGAAAACAUUUCCAGUAAUCAUUCAUUCACCUCCUCAAUGGACUUUGGAAUCGCUUUAUGACUCCAUUAUUAAUGUGCCGAUAGAUCAUGGAAACAUAUAAGAUAUGGCAGCAAUGAGUAUUCCGAGAUCUAGCUACUAAGGGCUUCUCUAGUUUGGUGCUGCCAUAUGUUCAUCAGCAAGAUACAUCUUGAAUCUUGCAAACUUGUCUGUCUUGCUGAUGCUUGAGUUCUACCAAAACUCUUAGUUCUCCUCCAAUAUUUUGAGGGGCUUAUGUGACUUACCAUAACUCAAAAAAGUAGGUAUAUCUUCAUCACAUCUGUUUUGCUGCACUACAUCUGAAGGAACUUCCAACAUACCAAGAAGUACUUGAUGUGAUCUCUUGGAUGCAAAGAAAGUAGGCAUCGGAAUAUAUGCAGUCGAAAUCUCCAAUGGGUAAACUACCGAAUAAUUACUGUGUUACAGCUUUAAGCUUAACUUAGCUGAUCUCAUGUUAACACAUGCGAGAGCACAGAAUUGUGUGUGCUUUGUGGACGAGUCCGUGACUUUGAGCUCGUCAGGCUUCCGCUAGACUUUCUUUCUGAUGAUUUCUUUUAUGGGUAGAAGCAAGACAUCACCAUGAAGCAGUGCAACUCUCUCCUGCUAUUCCACAAACACAUAGAUCAUGAGGGUGGUGCAUGCAGUACGUGGUAGAGAUCCUGAGACAGCAGGAUAUGUUUGUGAUGAUGGUGCCAAAAGAGGAUGGAGUGCAAGCUGCAGGUUGCGAUGCAUGAAUUGCCCAUCUACCUUCCCUCGCAUCAGUUUGCUUGGUUCACCAGCACAUGAAUCAACUCCCUGUGCAUGGCGAGGCAGAGGAAAAGUGCUGCCAUUUGGCACAUUUCCGAGUGGAAAUGAUCAGCUUCUCUUUGUGGGCACCUGCAUAAAGCAAUCCCAAUGAUGAUGACAAGACCUCAGUGGGAGGAUGGCCAAAAAUGUUUUGACAAAUUCUAAUCGAAAAUACGCAGCAUUAGUCACACAAUUUGCUACUACAUCAUGUGAGCUAAGCAGCAUCCUACAUUAAAGAAGAAGAAGAAGAAUCCGUAGGCCGAAAUAGAAAAGGUGGCAAUUAGAGAGAAGGAUGCCAAGGCUUUAACUUGUUUAAUUACAUGUGUGAUUAAUCCCAUAUGCAUAUGCUUUGGUAGUGCUCUCUCAUUUUCCAAGGUGAAUGAAUGUGAAGUGGGGUUAGAGGAGAAGGAUGACAUGUGUAGGUAGGUCGUUAGUGGUUGAUGUCCACUACAAUAUUCUCACUUACGUUCUCAUCACUAUCUAAGUUGGAGACAUGUGUAAUUCGCACCACAAUUCCUUAUUUUAUGAAGAAAAAUUAUCCACCAUAAAUAUUCUCGUGAUUUGGUUUGUCAGUGCAAUUAAUUAAUUAAAGUUGUUUUUUUCUUGGCUGAUCCAAUAGAUUCCUUAGUCGGCAGCUGUGAGUGUGUUAGAGAGAGAAAAUAAAGAAGAUUAACUCUCGUUAAAAUGUGAUAAGGAAAAUAUUCGUUCCGAGUUUGAUACGUGAUAUUAACAUCGAAAAGACCAAGUUGAUAAAUUCAUUCGACCUCAAUCUUCAUACAAAUUAAUUCAAGGAUAUGUAUCCGAAUUCACACUAACCCUCGAGCAAACGCUCAAACUUCUCGUCGAGCAAUAUCAUUUCUCUUAUCCUAAACAUAAUUCUUGAUCGUACAAGCAUCGAUCGAGACAAAUAUCUAAGAUGUAAUUUUUUUUCUUUCUUUUAUUAGUACAAACAUAAAGAAUAAAUAAAAAUAUUAUAAUACUAAUAAAAUAUAAAAAAUAUAUAUAUAUAAUUUGUGUCUCUCCUUGCUAUCAUUGGAGAAAAGCUUUGAACAUAGUGCUUUAGGCAUGGUUGUUCUCCGACUCAUGGCAUCUUAAGUGUUCUUGGAGUGUUGCGUUGUCCGUCAAGACAAGCGAUUGAUUGAUUGAUUGAUUGCGUGUGUCGUGUGGUUGCCAUGUUCAAACCUCUCCGUCAUUGAAAAGUUGGGAAUGCGAACCAAUUCGUGUCAUCAUAUAUAUGAAAUAUGGCUCGAGCAAUAGUGUUGUAUAGUAUUUGAGGUUGGUGAUGGCAACGAGUGAUGCAAAGACAAGCAAAAAGGAAUGUUAUUCCAAUUAGUCACGAUCAAUUAUAAGAAUCUAAUCUUGUCAUUAGAUUUUGCCAUUAACUAAAUCAAAAAAAUAGAUAUAUUUCUUAGGUUUCCUUCGUCUUCUCAUCCCCGUAUCGAACUCUAAUAAUUUGUCGACUCCAAUCAUGAUAGUUUUGUUUGAGCUUAGGUCGAUAAUAAUAUUAUGUAAUUCAAGCUUAGGUGCUUAGGUUUUAUGACAAAUAAGACAAAUAUAACAAUAUAAUUAUUUGAGAUAUCGAGUAUAUGAAACUUGCUAAGGUUCAAUAUAGAUUCAUAGAUUGAGUCAGUUUCUAAGUUGGAUUUUCUAGUUCCCUUGUGUAUCAAACCUAUUUUUAUUUACUAUGAUAUAUUAAACUCACUCGAUAAAAAAAUAAGGUUUCAUAAUCUCAUCUAAAAAAUUUGAAAAUUUAAAAAUUAAUUUCAUUAUGUAUUAGAUUCACUUAUGAGAGGUUAAUAUUUUUUAAUUUUAUAUAUCAGACUCACUUAAUCGAGGAUUUUACAAUAAAUUAACGGAGUAGUUAAAUUACUUAUCGCUUCGAAUGUUUGUAAUUUUAUAUGAUAAAUUUUGAAAAUAUCAACUAGAAAAAGAUAUUUCACAUAUUAAAACUAUUCCAACUUGAUCAUAUUCAUAACAACUUAAAUUUUUUGGAAUUAUUGGUCACGCAAUUUAAAAUCUUUAUUAAGAAUAGUUUAUCUUUAAAGAAAGAAAAUUUGACGUAUGGAUUUGUUUGGAGGCCAACGCAUACUUUUAGUGAAUUUUUGCACGUGCUAUGUAUGUGGAGGGUGACACAAAAACAAAAGGAAAAGUAGGAAUCAUUGUUAGGGUGGGGAAAGAAAAGCCAUAUUCCAUCAUCAUUGGAUUCAAUGGUCCUGAUUUGAUUCGAGUAUAAAGCACCUCAACCUUUAUCCUUAGGCACUCACAUUGUAUAUAAUAAUAAUAAUAAUAAUAAUAAUAAUAAUAAUAAUAAUAACAAUAAUAAUAAUAAUAAUAAUAAUAAUAAUAGUCGUAUAGCUAAGAGAAGAUAUCGGGGAAUAAAUUAGACGGAAUGAGCUUCCUUUUUUUAUGUUUAUCAGAAAAAGAAUAUUACAUUUUAAGUCUUUAGAUGGCUAAGAUCUUUGACGAUGUGGCCUUUGAUGUGCUUAUUGCGGAUCACUAAACACUUAGUUCUCUUACUUAUUGGACUCAAACUCAUUUGAUUUAAAUUCUUAAUAUAUUUUGGAUCAUAUUGUUUGGACAUCGAGUUGUUUAAACUAGAUAUUGAUAAAUCGUAGUAUAUUAGAUAUGAUUAAGGUGAAAUUUACUUUGUUACACAAAAUAAUGCUUUAAGAUAUUUGUUAAUAAAUAUUCAUGAGAUAGAGAUUGAAAGAGAAGUAAGAAAAUAAUCGCAUGUCGGGACAAAUAAAAAGGGUCGAGUUAUAUAUACUAGAUUGACUAACAACUUAAUAGGCUUAUGUUUCUGAGUUUAAACUCAUACCUAAACUGAUGUGUGUUCAUAUUAUCCAAUUUGACACAUCAUUAUUUGGUUAUUAACAUGAUAUCAAAGCUAAGAUUUGUGAAAUAAAAGUAAAAGAGUCAAAAAAAAAAAAA